AUAAAUUCAAGCUGGGAGAAAUGUGAUGCCAGUAAAGGCUAGCCAGCCUUCAGAAUCAUUUUACGUCGUGCAGCAUUUAUGUUGGAACUUAAUGGACAUAAGACACCAGAAUUUAAUAAGAGACUAAAAGAAAAUAGAUGAGAUACUUGAAGAACAUAUGUGGAGGAGGAAUGAGAUUGCUGCACAUGGAGGAGGAGUAAAAGAGACUCUCCAUUCUCAUAUUCUCUGACUUCGGAUUGAGAGAGUGAGAGCCA
rnacentral:lncRNA from 1 species